GACAGAGGAUGCAAGCGUUAUCCAGAAUAAUUGGGCGUAAAGCAUCUGUAGGUGGCUUUUCAAGUCCACCGUCAAAUCCCAGGGCUCAACCCUGGACAGGCGGUGGAAACUACCAAGCUGGAGUACGGUAGGGGCAGAGGGAAUUUCCGGUGGAGCGGUGAAAUGCAUUGAGAUCGGAAAGAACACCAACGGCGAAAGAACACUGACACUGAGAGACGAAAGCUAGGGAGCAAAUGGG
rnacentral:rRNA from 1 species